CAGAGGUCCCAAGCGUUGUUCGGAUUCACUGGGCGUAAAGGGUGCGUAGGCGGUCGGGUAAGUCUGAUGUGAAAUCUCCAAGCUCAACUUGGAAAUGGCAUCGGAUACUAUUCGGCUCGAGGAAUGGAGGGGAGACUGGAAUACUUGGUGUAGCAGUGAAAUGCGUAGAUAUCAAGUGGAACACCAGUGGCGAAGGCGAGUCUCUGGACAUUUCCUGACGCUGAGGCACGAAAGCCAGGGGAGCAAACGGGAUUAGAUACCCCGGUAGUCCUGGCCCUAAACGGUGCGCAUUUGCUGUAAGAGGAAUCGACCCCUUUUGUGGCGAAGCUAACGCGUUAAAUGCGCCGCCUGGGAAGUACGGCCGCAAGGUUA
rnacentral:rRNA from 1 species